rnacentral:rRNA from 1 species
CCUACGGGGGGCAGCAGUGGGGAAUAUUGGGCAAUGGAGGAAACUCUUACCCAGCAAUGCCGCGUGAAUGAAGAAGGUCUUCGGAUUGUAAAGUUCUUUAAUUGGGGACGAAAAAAAUGACGGUACCCAAGGAAUAAGCCCCGGCUAACUACGUGCCAGCAGCCGCGGUAAUACGUAGGGGGCAAGCGUUGUUCGGAAUGACUGGGCGUAAAGGGUGCGUAGGCGGUGUAGCAAGUUAGAAGUGAAAUACCUAGAGCUUAACUCAGGUGCUGCUUCUAAAACUGCUAUACUUGAGUGCAGUAGAGGAAAGUGGAAUUCCUAGUGUAGCGGUGGAAUGCGUAGAUAUUAGGAGGAACAUCAGUGGCGAAGGCGACUUUCUGGACUGUAACUGACGCUGAGGCACGAAAGUGUGGGGAGCAAACAGGAUUAGAU